rnacentral:rRNA from 1 species
CCUACGGGCGCUGCAGUGGGGAAUAUUGGACAAUGGGCGAAAGCCUGAUCCAGCCAUGCCGCGUGUGUGAAGAAGGCCUUCGGGUUGUAAAGCACUUUCAGUGGGGAAGAAAGCCUUGGGGCUAAUACCCUCGAGGAAGGACAUCACCCACAGAAGAAGCACCGGCUAACUCCGUGCCAGCAGCCGCGGUAAUACGGAGGGUGCGAGCGUUAAUCGGAAUUACUGGGCGUAAAGCGCGCGUAGGCGGUCUGAUAAGCCGGUUGUGAAAGCCCCGGGCUCAACCUGGGAACGGCAUCCGGAACUGUCAGGCUAGAGUGCAGGAGAGGAAGGUAGAAUUCCCGGUGUAGCGGUGAAAUGCGUAGAGAUCGGGAGGAAUACCAGUGGCGAAGGCGGCCUUCUGGACUGACACUGACGCUGAGGUGCGAAAGCGUGGGUAGCAAACAGGAUUAGAUACCCCAGUAGUC